CUGUACCCAGCCCUUUGCUGCCUGCUGAGUCUCCCUUGUUAUAGGGCAGCAGCAAUGAACUCCUUAUUCCUAUUCCUGUUGCUUCUCUCUACUCCCCCAUGUGUGCUCUCUGCUGUGCAGCUGGUUGAGUCUGGCCCAGGGGUGGUGAAGCCUGCAGAGACCCUCACCCUGACCUGCACUGUCACAGGUUCCUCCAUCAGCAGUUAUAACUAUUGGAGCUGGAUCCGGCAGCCUCCUGGGAAAGGGCUGGUGUGGAUGGGGAACAUAGGUGGAAGCAGUGGUAGCACAAGCUACAAUCCAUCCCUCAAGAGCCGCAUCACCAUUUCCAAGGACAGCUCCAAGAGCCAGUUCUCCCUGCAGCUGCGCGCUCUGACAGCCGCAGACACCGCCACGUAUUAC